UACGAAGGGGGCUAGCGUUGUUCGGAAUUACUGGGCGUAAAGGGCGCGUAGGCGGUACUUCAAGUCAGGCGUGAAAGCCCCGGGCUCAACCUGGGAACCGCGCUUGAGACUGGAGAACUAGAGUUCGGGAGAGGAUGGUGGAAUUCCCAGUGUAGAGGUGAAAUUCGUAGAUAUUGGGAAGAACACGAUGGCGAAGGCAGCCAUCUGGACCGACACUGACGCUGAGGCGCGAAAGCGUGGGGAGCAAACAGGAUUGAGAAACCC
rnacentral:rRNA from 1 species